GACGAACGCUGGCGGCGUGCUUAACACAUGCAAGUCGAACGGAAAGGCCCUGCUUUUGUGGGGUGCUCGAGUGGCGAACGGGUGAGUAACACGUGAGUAACCUGCCCUUGACUUUGGGAUAACUUCAGGAAACUGGGGCUAAUACCGGAUAGGAGCUCCUGCUGCAUGGUGGGGGUUGGAAAGUUUCGGCGGUUGGGGAUGGACUCGCGGGUUAUCAGCUUGUUGGUGGGGUAGUGGCUUACCAAGGCUUUGACGGGUAGCCGGCCUGAGAGGGUGACCGGCCACCUUGGGCCUGAGAUACGGCCCAGACUCGUAUGGGAGGCAGCAGUGGGGAAUAUGGCACAAUGGGCGGAAGCCUGAUGCAGCAACGCCGCGUGCGGGAUGACGGCCUUCGGGUUGUAAACCGCUUUCGCCUGUGACGAAGCGUGAGUGACGGUAAUGGGUAAAGAAGCACCGGCUAACUACGUG
rnacentral:rRNA from 1 species